GUGAGGAAUAUUGGACAAUGGGCGCAAGCCUGAUCCAGCCAUGCCGCGUGCAGGAAGACGCAUCUAUGGUGUGUAAACUGCUUUUGUACGGGAAGAAACACUCCCUCGUGAGGGAGCUUGACGGUACCGUAAGAAUAAGGAUCGGCUAACUCCGUGCCAGCAGCCGCGGUAAUACGGAGGAUCCAAGCGUUAUCCGGAAUCAUUGGGUUGAAAGGGUCCGUAGGCGGUUUAAUAAGUCAGUGGUGAAAGCCCAUCGCUCAACGAUGGAACGGCCAUUGAUACUGUUAGACUUGAAUUACAAGGAAGUAACUAGAAUAUGUAGUGUAGCGGUGAAAUGCUUAGAUAUUACAUGGAAUACCAAUUGCGAAGGCAGGUUACUACUUGUGGAUUGACGCUGAUGGACGAAAGCGUGGGGAGCGAACAGGAUUAGAUACCCCGGUAGUCC
rnacentral:rRNA from 1 species